rnacentral:rRNA from 1 species
GACGAACGCUGGCGGCGUGCUUAACACAUGCAAGUCGAACGGAAAGGCCCUGCUUUUGUGGGGUGCUCGAGUGGCGAACGGGUGAGUAACACGUGAGUAACCUGCCCUUGACUUUGGGAUAACUUCAGGAAACUGGGGCUAAUACCGGAUAGGAGCUCCUGCUUCAUGGUGGGGGUUGGAAAGUUUCGGCGGUUGGGGAUGGACUCGCGGCUUAUCAGCUUGUUGGUGGGGUAGUGGCUUACCAAGGCUUUGACGGGUAGCCGGCCUGAGAGGGUGACCGGCCACAUUGGGACUGAGAUACGGCACAGACUCCUACGGGAGGCAGCAGUGGGGAAUAUUGCACAAUGGGCGGAAGCCUGAUGCAGCAACGCCGCGUGCGGGAUGACGGCCUUCGGGUUGUAAACCGCUUUCGCCUGUGACGAAGCGUGAGUGACGGUAAUGGGUAAAGAAGCACCGGCUAACUACGUG